rnacentral:rRNA from 1 species
CUACGGGAUGCAGCAGUGAGGAAUUUUGCGCAAUGGGGGAAACCCUGACGCAGCAACGCCGCGUGAGUGAUGAAGGCCUUCGGGUCGUAAAGCUCUGUCAAGUGGGAAGAACCCACCCUGUGCUAAUAUCACAGGGUGCUGACGGUACCACUGAAGGAAGCACCGGCUAACUCCGUGCCAGCAGCCGCGGUAAUACGGAGGGUGCGAGCGUUAUUCGGAAUUACUGGGCGUAAAGGGCGCGUAGGCGGCCUUUUAAGUCAGAUGCGAAAUCCCGGGGCUCAACCCCGGAAGUGCAUCUGAAACUAAGAGGCUUGAGUAUGGGAGAGGGAAGUGGAAUUCCUGGUGUAGAGGUGAAAUUCGUAGAUAUCAGGAGGAACACCGGUGGCGAAGGCGACUUCCUGGACCAAUACUGACGCUGAGGCGCGAAGGCGUGGGGAGCAAACAGGAUUAGAUACCCUGGUAGUC